UGGGGAAUAUUGCGCAAUGGGCGAAAGCCUGACGCAGCGACGCCGCGUGAGGGAUGAAGGUUUUCGGAUCGUAAACCUCUGUCUGAAGGGAAGAAACCGCACUGUUCUAAUCAGCAGUGCCUUGACGGUACCUUCAAAGGAAGCACCGGCUAACUCCGUGCCAGCAGCCGCGGUAAUACGGAGGGUGCAAGCGUUAAUCGGAAUUACUGGGCGUAAAGCGCACGUAGGCUGCUUUGUAAGUCAGGGGUGAAAUCCCACGGCUCAACCGUGGGACUGCCUUUGAUACUGGUUAGCUUGAAUCCGGGAGAGGGUGGCGGGAUUCCAGGUGGAGGAGUGAAAUCCGGAGAUAUCUGGGGGAACAUCAGUGGCGAAGGCGGCCACCUGGACCGGUAUUGACGCUGAGGUGCGAAAGCGUGGGGAGGAAACAGG
rnacentral:rRNA from 1 species